AUGAAAAAAAGGCAAAAAAUGAAAAAAAUGACAAAAGGAUAUUGUUUAGGCUAUUUCUUCCCUAUCCACUUUUUAUUUUGAUCAUA
rnacentral:ribozyme from 1 species